rnacentral:lncRNA from 1 species
AUCCUUUGUAUAGUGAUGGUUUUAGUUCUACUGUUUAUUUUUGUGUUACGUUUGCAAGGUUUGGGUUUGUGUUGCACUGUUUGAGUAAAAUUGCUACUCAAACGCAAUUAAAAUAAAAUUAUUGUUAAAGAUAAAUGUUACCAUUAUUUACAUAAUGCACUAUUUACACAAAGUAAAAACAUAAGUAAAUCAGUGAGUCCCGCUGCCUGUGUGCUUUAGUGUUGCUGCUGGCCUAAGUCGCAUCCCCUAUCGCUCGGGUACACUAUCUGGAUCAUCAUCAUCAAGUCGCCUAUUUAUGUGAGGAUGUGCAGCAUCAUCGACACUACAACUGGCAGGAUCAGAAGAAUAUGUCGUCGGGGCGUCAGUAACUGAUAAUAGGUGAAUUAGACUAUAAUUAUGCCCUAAAGAACCAUAUUUUUGUAUAGCAUUAUGGCAAAAAGCGAGAACCAAAUGCUCUGAUUAGUGCUUUUCAUGCUUUGUAGAUUAUAUCCAAUAAAAGAAGUCGGUACAGCACUUUUGGGAUCUAUUACAGAGAAAAA